AGGUGGAAUGGUAAAUUAACAGCAUUUAAGGUGGAAUGGUAAAUUAGCUGCAUUUGUGAUUGGUUUACUGAAGGCAAUAAAGAGCAUAUAUGAAAGUUACAUAGCAGCUACUUGCACACUGUGCUGUGGGUUAUGCAGGUGCUAUCUUAAAUGUUAGCUGCAUUUAAGGUGGAAUGGUAAAUUAGCUGCAUUUAAGGUAGCACGCUAAAUUGGAAUAACAGUUUACUUAAGGCAAUGAAGUUGUAUAUAUAAAAGAUAAAUAGCAGCUACUUACACAUAGAGCCGUGGGUUGUGCAUUAAUGGUAAAUUAGCUCAAUUUAAGGUGGAAUGGUAAAUAAGCUGCAUUUAAGGUGGAACACUAAAUUCGAACAUAUCUUCAUGUGAUUGGUUUACUGAAUGAUUAAAGCGUAUAUACGAAAAUUAGCUUUAUUAAGGUGGAAUGGUAAAUUAUCAACAUUUAAAUAGGAUUGGUAAAUUAGUGACAUUUAAAGUGAUAUGGUAAAUAAGCUGCAUUUAAGGUGGAAUGGUUAAUUAGCUGCAUUUAAGGUGGAAUGGUAAAUUUGCACUAAUUGAAUUAGUUACCGCAUUUAAGUACAAUUGUAUUAUAAGAUUAUUCCAGCCAUGGACACUGUACAUUUAUAGUUGUAGGUUUAACAU